UACGUAGGGGGCUAGCGUUGUCCGGAAUCAUUGGGCGUAAAGCGCGUGUAGGCGGCCCGGUAAGUCCGCUGUGAAAGUCGGGGGCUCAACCCUCGGAUGCCGGUGGAUACUGUCGGGCUAGAGUGCGGAAGGAGGCGAGUGGAAUUCCUGGUGUAGCGGUGAAAUGACGCAGAUAUCAGGAGGAACACCAAUUGCGAAGGCAGCUCGCUGGGACGUGACUGACGCUGAGACGCGAAAGCGUGGGGAGCAAACAGG
rnacentral:rRNA from 1 species